rnacentral:lncRNA from 10 species
GUGGGAUGGAGGCUAUAUAUAUAUUUCUCUAGAUAUACAUAAAGACAUAGAGAAAAAAACCAAGGUUUUUCCUGCACAGAGAGGGAUAUUUACAUUCUCCCCGGGGUGAUCUCUGAAACGUUGAUUAUUGCCGGUGAUAAGUGAACCGAGGGGAGAAGAACGCCAAAGAUGAGAAAAUGCUUACAAAGUGAGAUUGCAAAAUAUUUCCAAGGUCCCAGAGCCAGGAUUUAAGCCCAGACAGUGGGUUCGAGAGUCUGGACCCUGGACGACUCUUACACCUCAAUGUGAAUAGUGAGUGGUAAGGUAUAAGUGUUAACUAGCUGCUUCAGGGAUGUUUUUCUAUUUACCAGUAUAAGUGUGCACAUUUGUGUGUGUGUGUGAAUGAAAUUGUGUGGGGAGUUUUGCAAGAGAGAUGGAAAAGGGAGAGGUGUUAGCAUUGGAGCUGAUGACAGAGAUAAGAAAAGCUAUGGCAAGAAGAGAGGCAGUCUUUUGCCAUGUCAGUGAGUCAUUCAGUUGGCAUCUAGCUUCAAAUUUAUUGAUUUAAAUCCAAAUAUCCUAAUUAACUCUUAUAAUUUUGUACAGAUGGACAGAUGGAAGUACAGUUUAGAAAAGGCUGAUGGUGACCAGCUGUUCACCAGCUCUGCUGAGCAAACUGAGCCAAGCUCUAAUGUGAAGACUUCAGGUUAGUAAUAGGAAAAGUUCACCUGUGGUGAGGUUAGAAAGGGAAAAAAAGUACGCUAACAAAGGAACAGAAACUAGAAUGCCAUCUUUGGAUAUGUUUUAAAAUAGGUUGAGUCUUAUCUUUUUAGGAAAGCUUAAUGCUAUCCUGCUGAAAGCCAAGAAGAUACAAGAUGAGCUCAAAGCCCCUUUGAGCUUAUAAUUAAAGAAUUUUGUGAUGCUUUGCUUUCAAUUAAAGAUAUCCAUCUUUCUCCUUUUAAUAGGCGAGGGGUAGCUGCUUCCAUUGCUUUUCUUUGGUUAAGUAAGGAAAUCAUUACCUAUAGAGACACUAAUGAAAGGAAAUACUUAGGCCAAUUCUCCCCCCUGCCUAAAUAUCCUAAGUCCUGCACUCAUUAUAUUCACCCUGUGACUUUAGAAGGCCUUAUCCUGUUUGCAAAGUCUUGGAUUUCCAACAGAAACAGAACUUGCCUGAAAGGAUUAAAGUUUCCAUGGGGAAUAGAGGUUUUCUGCCUCUUUAGGGUUCUGCAAGCCCUACUGCCCUUCUGGAGAAUUAACUCCAGGGUGUUUUAGGAACCCAAGUGUGAUCCAAACUAACUGUACAUCUCUGAUGGCCCCAAAAUCUGCUUAGGGGCGUAGAGUCUCCUGCCUGUGAUACUGUGAAAAUGGCCCAUCUGAAGGGCAGAAGCCAUUCUUGAUCACCUCUGUUUUACAGAGCGGACAAGAAUCUGCAGACGUUUUACAUCAAAGUUAAGCAGAGUCCAAAACAAUCUAAAAAAGUUUUGGGUUGAUGCUAAAAUCAAGGCCUGGAGGGGAUAGCGGGGUGGGAUCUGGACUUACAAAAGCUUCCCUAGGAAUUUCGGCUCUUGGCAUGCACACCUACUCUCAAGGGAGAAGAGUUAAUGUUGUCAGGCACACCACAGAAAGAAGGGUGCCUCAGAGAAGGAUUUAAGGAGGGACGGCAAUUCCACUGCUACUCACCAGAAGCCAGUAUGACUUUAAAAUAUUGAUGAUGUUAUUUGCUGAAAGUACCGGAUUUUAAAUGCCAGAAUAGAAGAUUGGGUUUUCCAGUUGCAUACUCAGCAAAUGAGCAGAAACAGCACACGUGUCCCCGUUUAAUUUGUAAAGGACCUUAAGUCUUUCUGAAGACUAUCAAUUAAUGUGUCUGUAGCCAUAAACAUACCUAUGAACCAUGUUUUACAUUUAUGUAACACUGCUCAAGAAGUUUAUGCACUUAUUAGUCUUUGCAUAGCUUCAAGGAGCAGAUAAUAUUGAGUAUUAGAAAUAAAUUUUAUUUCUGCUGAAAUC